GAGUUUGAUCCUGGCUCAGAUUGAACGCUGGCGGCAGGCUUAACACAUGCAAGUCGAACGGUAGCAGGAAGAAAGCUUGCUUUCUUUGCUGACGAGUGGCGGACGGGUGAGUAAUGCUUGGGAAUCUGGCUUAUGGAGGGGGAUAACUACGGGAAACUGUAGCUAAUACCGCGUAAAAUCUACGGAUUAAAGAAUGGGACGAUUUCGCCAUUCGCCAUAAGAUGAGCCCAAGUGGGAUUAGGUAGUUGGUGGGGUAAAGGCCUACCAAGCCGACGAUCUCUAGCUGGUCUGAGAGGAUGACCAGCCACACUGGAACUGAGACACGGUCCAGACUCCUACGGGAGGCAGCAGUGGGGAAUAUUGCGCAAUGGGGGCAACCCUGACGCAGCCAUGCCGCGUGAAUGAAGAAGGCCUUCGGGUUGUAAAGUUCUUUCGGUGGUGAGGAAGGCUUAAGUGCUAAUAGUACUUAAGAUGACUAG
rnacentral:rRNA from 1 species